rnacentral:lncRNA from 1 species
GAAAGCUCUAGAUGGUUUUCCUAGGGUGAGCCUAGAGUUCAACCCCACUGCCCUUGAUAACGGCUGGGUAAGCAUCACAUUGAAGACCACAGCUAGUGAAGGCGAGUGCUAAUGUCCUUUUCUAACUGCACCCCUAGUCUCAGGUUCAUAUUUGGGCCUCUCCCUUCGCUAGGCCUUACCUGUCCUGUCUUCUCUGUCCUCUGUCCUUUUUAUCUGGAAAAAGCAGUUAACAAAUGCGACACUAAUGCACAGUAAUGGAGCCUACUUGUCUCCUAUAAGGUUCAUUCUUUCCACUUAACACAUCUCUAGAAAAAAACAAAAAUGUUAUCGUCUGUGGAUUUAUGAAUUAGGAAAAGAAGGUUUGAGUAGGCAGACUCCACUUCACCCCAGGCUCGGCCCUGCUUUCCUCUUCAGGAUCCGUGAUGAGCAGGACCUUUGGGGUAAAAUGUGUGCCAUCUUCCCUUCUCAAGGCUCAGCCUGGAGCCGGCUUGGCUUGCCUGUCAGACACACUUAGCUUUCCUCUGGAGCCGAGUCCAGGGAGACCUCAUUUCCUUGUCUUGUUACAGGCUGCAGACAGCCCCUUUGCAGCUGCUGCUAGCUGUCCCAGGCUUGAGAGCAAAGGUUAAUCCCACUGAGAGAAGUGACCUGAAGCGUGUUCACUCAACCACUAAGAAGACACCAAGUACCACUCAGGAGCUCGUGGUACCUCUUUCUUGUUUAUAAACUGCGUGUCUCUUAAGUUUCCCUGGAAUCUUCUGUAGGGUGUUCCCAUUCUCUCCAGAGAAAUACUUGUGAAGAUACAUAGUGUGUCUGAGUGUGUCAUUUGGGAGAGAAUCUUAGAAACUUUGCUGAUGCUGCCUACUCACAUUUUCUUGGGCAACUUCAUAGUUUGUGAUGACUGGGUGUUCAACAGUGAGUGUUUGUGUGUGUGCACGCGCGCGCGGGCGGGUAUACAGUAAUGGAGAUUAAAUUCAUUGCCACACCUUUGCUUCAGUUUUAUCCUUCCGAGGGCUUAAGCUGUCCUGUCUAUAUAGCCAUCAUGGAGAAUCACCUGUUUCCAGCAGAGGGCGCCCCACUCUCACUAAAAAUCACAGAGUUCAUUUCCCUCCAGGAACUUAGUUGACUUGGUAGUUGCUGUAUUCCCAGCAUGUGUUGAAAUAUCCCAGCCGAGUGCUUUGAGACAUGUCCUUAUAUUGCCUCGUGCAUUUCUACAGCUGCAGAUGUCUCCUACGUAGACGAAUUGCCCGCCGCACCCACGAUCCCCCAGUUGGUAGGCAAUCUUGUAGGUUGCUACUUCUCUGUUAGUCUCAAUUGUAUUUGGUAUGUCCGUGAUUAUAUUUGUAGGUAAUAAAAAACAGUGUUCUUG